UACCUGCAACUCAAUUGCUCAAAUCGUCAUCGCUGUAUGUAUCGAGUAGCUUCUGCAUUCUACAGUGUGUGAGACGACGGAGAGAUGUCGUGCUGUGUUUCUUGCUGUGCAUCUUUGACAUGCGGUCUCUGCUCCUCGGUGGCGUCUGGGAUCUCCAAGAGAUCGGCGAGGAUCGGAUACUGCGGUCUCUUCGGUGUCUCUCUCAUAGUUUCCUGGAUUCUCAGAGAAUUCGCUGCUCCUCUCUUGGAGAAAUUCUCUUGGAUAAAUACUUCUGAUUCUUACACAAAAGAAUGGUAUCAGCAACAGGCAGUUCUACGAGUGAGCUUGGGGAAUUUCUUGUUUUUUGCAAUACUUGCGCUUAUUAUGAUUGGGAUAAAAGACCAGAAUGAUAGACGUGAUGUUUGGCACCAUGGUGCAUGGACUGCAAAGAUGGUGAUCUGGAUUUUACUUGUCAUCCUCAUGUUUUUCGUUCCUAAUGUUGUCAUCUCGAUAUAUGGAACUUUAUCGAAAUUUGGAGCUGGCUUGUUUUUAUUGGUUCAAGUGAUUAUAUUACUCGACUUUGUACACACAUGGAAUGAUGCAUGGGUUGCAAAAGAUGAACGUAAAUGGUAUAUUGCUUUACUUGCUGUGUCAGUUGGAUGCUACCUUGCAGCAUAUACAGUUUCAGGACUUCUCUUUAUAUGGUUCAACCCAUCUGGACAUGACUGUGGUCUCAACGUCUUCUUCCUUGUCAUGACCAUGAUUCUUGGAUUUGCCUUUGCAGUAAUAGCACUGCAUCCUGCGGUUAAUGGCAGCCUCUUGCCUGCUUCAGUGAUAUCACUUUACUGUGUUUAUGUGUGCUACACUGGUCUCUCCAAUGAACCUCGUGAUUAUGUCUGCAAUGGUCUCCAUAACAAAUCUAAAGCAGUCUCCACUGGUACUCUUGUUCUUGGGAUGCUCACAACAGUUCUCUCAGUCCUAUACUCUGCACUUCGUGCUGGUUCUUCAACAACGUUUUUGUCACCGCCAUCUUCACCUAAGUCGGGUGGAAACAAACCACUUCUUGAAGCGGAAUUGGAAGAAGGGAAAGGAAAUAAAAAGGAAACUGAAGCACAGCCAGUUAGUUAUUCCUAUUCGUUUUUCCACCUAAUUUUCGCCCUGGCUAGUAUGUACUCAGGCAUGCUUCUCUCGGGAUGGACCAGCUCAUCGGACAGCACCGACCUAAUAGAUGUCGGGUGGACAUCGGUCUGGGUUCGUAUAUGCACAGAGUGGGUCACUGCUGGACUCUACAUCUGGACCCUUGUUGGAGCUCUUAUUCUCCCCGACCGUGAAUUCUAAAUAGGCUAAACCUGUUCACUAAGCCACCUUCAAUGUCAGAAACUGUAUCCAAGAUUUAGUAUGUAUGUAGUUGAUGUGUUUGUCAAAAUUGUUCCUUGUGUGGAUUUACUUGUUUGUAUAUAUAUUGUUAGAUUUGAUAAGUCAUUAAAUUAUAUAAGAGUUUUCGUCACGGAUUUGGUCAUAAUUGGACUUGGAAUAUUGGAUGUGUGGUUUACCAAUUUUUGUCUGGAA